rnacentral:rRNA from 1 species
GAUGAACGCUGGCGGCGUGCCUAAUACAUGCAAGUCGAGCGAACGGACGAGAAGCUUGCUUCUCUGAUGUUAGCGGCGGACGGGUGAGUAACACGUGGAUAACCUACCUAUAAGACUGGGAUAACUUCGGGAAACCGGAGCUAAUACCGGAUAAUAUUUUGAACCGCAUGGUUCAAUAGUGAAAGACGGUCUUGCUGUCACUUAUAGAUGGAUCCGCGCUGCAUUAGCUAGUUGGUAAGGUAACGGCUUACCAAGGCAACGAUGCAUAGCCGACCUGAGAGGGUGAUCGGCCACACUGGAACUGAGACACGGUCCAGACUCCUACGGGAGGCGGCAGUAGGGAAUCUUCCGCAAUGGGCGAAAGCCUGACGGAGCAACGCCGCGUGAGUGAUGAAGGUCUUCGGAUCGUAAAACUCUGUUAUUAGGGAAGAACAUAUGUGUAAGUAACUGUGCACAUCUUGACGGUACCUAAUCAGAAAGCCACGGCUAACUACGUG